CCGGUGACAGCCACGGGAGGAGGAGGUCCUCCCGGUGAGAGCCACGGGAGGAGGAGGUCCUCCCUGUGACAGCCACGGGAGGAGGAGGUCCUCCCUGUGAGAGCCAUGGGAGGAGGAGGUCCUCCUGGACCAGCCCUUGGAGCCCUUAUUCCAUGAUACCUUUCAGAAAGCUCAUUCCCCAAGAGGAACUCUGGGGGGAAUCAAUGAAGCAUCUAGAAAGCUGUUACUGUGAUCCAGGCACCAGGCUCCAUGUUGGCGGUCGGUCCCCAGGCAAACACCAACUGCCCCUUUAAGAAGGAACAACAGGAAGGCAGCACAGGGGUACAAGCUGGGCCCGAGCCAACUUGAGUGGGGAGGGCAAGGAAAGACCUGAGAGAGAGAGGCUGCAGCUGAGUCUCAAAGGGAGGCUCUCCAGGCACUGAGCUCAGCCUGGGGGCUCCCAAGGAGGCAGGUGGGGAAGAAGCAGAGCCAUGAUGGGAGCUGACAGGAGAACCCGCCAUGACCAAUCCUGCCCAAAUGAAAACCCCCUUGGCAACAGCGCAGGAUGAGCUGGAGUGGGAGGAGCCAUACUAGGGGGCCGCGGCCACACUGUGGAGGGUCGGGGACACCAGGCUGAGCACAGGUGGGAGCUCCGGGGGUGAGGAGAAGCUGAGGCAGGAUGGCAAGGGCCAAUGGCAAGAUCUGGCAGCUGAUGUAACAGUAACAGCACUGGACAGAUAUGAUCUCACUUGACCUUCUCAAAAACCCCACUGAAGAGAUGAGGACGCCGGGUCCCAUGGUCUCUCCAUGGCCCCUCGCUGAGAGGUGGGGGAGAAGGCGGGGUUUGAGCACAGCCUCUGCCGGAUAUACUAAGCAAAUACUUGUGGAAAGACAGAAGCCACAUUCAGUCUAAGGCCAUGAUAACCUGUCUCCUGACCUUUCUGAUCUUCUGCCAUUGGCCUCCCCUCCCCAAGGUACACUCUUGCCAUCCUCCUCAAAGGUCCUGAGACAAGAGAUGGGGCCCAUCUCCCAGCUCUGUGCCCCAUGCCUGGUCUGCUCUGCCUUCUAGCUUGCUUUAAAACGGUUCAAAUCUCCCCCGACCCUCCCAGGGUUCCCUCCCUCUCAGAGAGCCAGAACAUGUCUCUCCAUUGGAAUAGAAGCUCCUAGAGGGCAGGGACUGUUUUUAUUUUCUAUUCCCAGAGCCUGGCCCAGUGCCUGACACGGCCAGAAAUGCCUGCCCGCGCCUGAAAUCCUUUACUCCCCCCUUGGGAAGGGAAUAGCACCGGGCCUGGUGCUCCGCCUCAGCCAGACUAAGACUGAAGCCUCUUUUGACAGAGCAACGAGUCAAGAAAUACUUGUAGAAAGAACCAAAGUGGGAAAGGUAACGAAUGUCACAGAAGGAGAGACUGGCAAGCCGGGACUGCAGACGCUCCUACAGGCUGGGCCCCAUUUCUCAAGCUUGCUAACUGUGUGUGAGGCAGAACAAGAUCUACAUCAGCCAAGAAAAUGCUCUUCUCCCAGCAAACAUGAAGCUAGAGAUAAUAUCCUGAUCAUCAAAAUUCGAUCAGAUGAUUCUUCCCCGAUUCUUGCAGAUUCGAGCUGUAUUUUAUUCCCUGUAAACAUUCUCUAAACAAUA